UACAGAAGGGGCAAGCGUUGUUCGGAAUUACUGGGCGUAAAGGGCUCGUAGGUGGCCAACUAAGUCAGACGUGAAAUCCCUCAGCUUAACUGGGGAACUGCGUCUGAUACUGGAUGGCUUGAGUUUGGGAGAGGGAUGCGGAAUUCCAGGUGUAGCGGUGAAAUGCGUAGAUAUCUGGAGGAACACCGGUGGCGAAGGCGGCAUCCGGGACCAACACGGACACGGAGGCGCGAAAGCUAGGGGAGCAAACGGG
rnacentral:rRNA from 1 species